rnacentral:rRNA from 1 species
GUCUUAUUGUAUAUUUAUAUUAAGUCUUACCUGCUCAAUGAUAUUAAUUAUUAAAUGGCCGCAGUAUUUUGACUGUGCAAAGGUAGCAUAAUCAUUUGUCUUUUAAUUGUAGACUUGUAUGAAUGGUUUGAUGAAAUAUUGACUUUCUUUAUAUAAAAUAUAUUUAAUUUAAUAUUUUAGUUAAAAGGCUAAAAUAGAUUUAUAGGACGAGAAGACCCUAUAGAAUUUUAUACUUAAGUAUUAUAAACAAUAUUGGUUUAUUAUCUAUUUUAUUUUACAAGGUAUUUUGUUGGGGUGACAGGAAGAUUUAAAUAACUUUUAUUAUUUAUAUUUUAUUCAUUUAUAAUUUAAUGAUCCUUUUUUGUGGAUAAUAAGAUUAAAUUACCUUAGGGAUAACAGCGUAAUUUCAUUGGAGAGUUCUUAUCGAUAGUGGAGUUUGCGACCUCGAUGUUGGAUUAAAAUUAGUUUUUGGUGUAGGUGCUAAAUUACUAGGUCUGUUCGACCUUUAAUAUUUUACA